GGAGGAGGACGCCGAAGGUGGGGCUAAUGACUGGGGUGAAGUCGUAACAAGGUAGCCGUACCGGAAGGUGCGGCUGGAUCACCUCCUAACAGGGAGACAACAAAAUGUUAAAUAUUAAUUUUGUCACCUUAGGUCGAUCGGUAUCUCACAUUCUUGAUUUAUUUAAGGAUUUCAUUUCCUAAGUUUUUUUCUAGGUCACACCCAUUACUUUUCCUGGGCCAUUAGCUCAGGUGGUUAGAGCGCACCCCUGAUAAGGGUGAGGUCCCUGGUUCAAGUCCAGGAUGGCCCAUAUCUCUAUGUUGGGGGUAUAGCUCAGUUGGUAGAGCGCCUGCUUUGCAAGCAGGAUGUCAGCGGUUCGAGUCCGCUUACCUCCACUGAUCACCACCUCUUCCAUAAUUUAUAGAAGGGAAAUGUUUUGAGAUGUGAUCAAAUUCUGAACGAAUCUAGCUUCCUAAUCAAAUUUAAUUAAGAUGCUGGACUCAUUGAAUUAAUUUCAUUGUUUUCAGAGAACCUUGACAACUGCAUAGAUUAUUUUUAAAGACAAUAAGCAUCUUUAAUGAUGCAGAUUUUUUAUUUGUGCGAAUGCAUUAAUAACAAUUCUAUUAAGCUGAUGCUUCAAUUUUGAAGUUAUUGGUCAAGCUACAAAGGGCUCACGGAGGAUACC
rnacentral:misc_RNA from 1 species